rnacentral:rRNA from 1 species
ACGGGGUGCAGCAGGCGCGAAAACUUUACAAUGCGGGCAACCGCGAUAAGGGGACCUCGAGUGCCGACAUCAAAUGUCGGCUGUCGUGAUGCCUAAAAAGCAUUGCAUAGCAAGGGCCGGGCAAGACCGGUGCCAGCCGCCGCGGUAACACCGGCGGCUCGAGUGGUAACUGUUAUUAUUGGGUUUAAAGGGUCUGUAGCCGGCCGGAUUAGUCUCUUGGUAAAUCUGGCAGCUUAACUGUCAGGCUUCAGGAGAUACUGUUCGGCUCGAGACCGGAAGAGGUGAGAGGUACUUCAGGGGUAGGGGUGAAAUCUUGUAAUCCUUGAAGGACCACCAGUGGCGAAGGCGUCUCACCAGAACGGAUCUGACGGCAAGGGACGAAAGCUAGGGGCACGAACCGGAUUAGAUACCCGGGUAGUCCUAGCCGUAAACAAUACUCGCUAGGUGUCGGCCACGGUGCGACCGUGGUCGGUGCCGUAGGGAAGCCGUGAAGCGAGCCACCUGGGAAGUACGGCCGCAAGGCUGAAACUUAAAGGAAUUGGCGGGGGAGCAC